GGCAAUGUGCAAGAUUUUUAUGCACUUUUAUACAUUUAACCCAAUUUAAUGUUGAAAACAUCCUUUUGCAUAUUUCCAAAAUAUAAAUUAUUCAAUUUCGACGUGUAUCCUGUAUCGUACAAUUUCACCUACAGUGGUAUUUUCUCCAACACAAAGAAUAAGACGAUAAAAGUAUCACGUUUAUCUUAAAUUAGAUGAGAUUCUUGAAAGUAACUGAAAAUCAACACCUACGCGGAACCGUGCAUCCAGUGUAUUUGCAGAAGUUAAUUUAAGGAGAAACGGAGAAACGGGGAGACCGAAAUCGGUAGGAAUUAAGCAAUACAGAAAGCUCACCCAAAACUGGGAUAUCUCGAUAUAAUAAUGUUUUAAAAUGCGCCCGUUCCGAUAUUUUUAAACCCAAUUCAUGGAGGAUGCACAUGAAUUAAAGUGGAACAUUGUCAUUUAUUGUGGAUGAAUUUCGCAUGUUCUUUUAUAAUUUAUCGCAGGAAUCUUGUCCAACGAUCAGCAGUUGCGAACAGUGUAAAUCAAAAGACGUUUCACUUAGGAAAAACAGCUCCCUCAAAAGCAGAGGUUUGAAGUAAACUUUUUCAGAAAUUGAGAUUUUGGUGCCAUCUGCAUAAGCACCUUAACAUAAUCGAUUUCCUGUAAAGAACUUAGAUAGAGCGCUUUGUAAAACUCAAAAUAAAAAAAGUAAAAACGAUAAGGAUAAUUUGCAAAAGAACGUAAAAAUAUUACUGCUUUUAACAAUGGAUGGAAACAGAAUAAGUAUAGUAGCGCAAAGAAUACUUCAAGUGAUAUAAUCUAGCAAAAAAGCACAGAACGACAGUAAUUUAGAUGACAUUAGAGCUGAAAGUAAAUAAAGCUUAAAAACGAAUUGAAUAGCAGAUUUACCAGAUGAAGAAGUUGAAAAGAAUGGAGAUAACAACUUAAUAAAUAAGAAGAUUUUAAACCACCGUAUAAAAAUUUCAAAAGCCAGAAGAACUACUGACUAAGUAAAGGUAACGAUUGGGAUUAUAAUAGUACCAAGAAGAAAACAGAAAAAGGAGACAUAUUUGCAAAAAAUGCAGGAGUUCAAAACAAAAGAAUCCUUCGAUUGUUAUAAAAUAAAUGAAUGACAUUUCCAAGACAAAUUAAUUUGUCGUGGAAAUAAAGACUCAUACAUAUUUUAGGAACAACGACGGUAACAGUGAAUAUUGCACUGAAAAGCUUGACAAGCAAAAAAUAUUACAGUAUAAGCCGAAGGCUUCUGGCAAUUUUUUUUAAUGGAAAAAAAGCCGACAGAGUUUUGACUUUGAAAAACCAUGUUGUGUAACACACUAGGAAUGUCCACUGCGCCUUGCGUUCAGGUGCUAGCUGUUCCUAAUGAAAUAAUCCAAAAUAAUAAAAAACCUUAAGCUGAAGAA